rnacentral:rRNA from 1 species
GACGAACGCUGGCGGCGUGCCUAAUACAUGCAAGUUGAGCGCUGAAGGUUGGUACUUGUACCAACUGGAUGAGCAGCGAACGGGUGAGUAACGCGUGGGGAAUCUGCCUUUGAGCGGGGGACAACAUUUGGAAACGAAUGCUAAUACCGCAUAAAAACUUUAAACACAAGUUUUAAGUUUGAAAGAUGCAAUUGCAUCACUCAAAGAUGAUCCCGCGUUGUAUUAGCUAGUUGGUGAGGUAAAGGCUCACCAAGGCGAUGAUACAUAGCCGACCUGAGAGGGUGAUCGGCCACAUUGGGACUGAGACACGGCCCAAACUCCUACGGGAGGCAGCAGUAGGGAAUCUUCGGCAAUGGACGAAAGGCUGACCGAGCAACGCCGCGUGAGUGAAGAAGGGUUUCGGAUCGUAAAACUCGGUUGGUAGAGAAGAACGUGGGUGAGAGUGGAAAGCUCAUCAAGUGACGGUAACUACACAGAAAGGGACGGCUAACUACGUG